CCUACGGGGUGCAGCAGUGAGGAAUAUUGGUCAAUGGGCUUACGCCUGAACCAGCCAAGUCGCGUGAGGGAAGACUGCCCUAUGGGUUGUAAACCUCUUUUGUCAGGGAGCAACGCCGGCUACGUGUAGCCGGACUGAGAGUACCUGAAGAAAAAGCAUCGGCUAACUCCGUGCCAGCAGCCGCGGUAAUACGGAGGAUGCGAGCGUUAUCCGGAUUUAUUGGGUUUAAAGGGUGCGUAGGCGGAAUGCCAAGUCAGCGGUAAAAUCGCGGGGCUCAACCUCGCUCCGCCGUUGAAACUGGCGGUCUUGAGUGGGCGAGAAGUAUGCGGAAUGCGUGGUGUAGCGGUGAAAUGCAUAGAUAUCACGCAGAACUCCGAUUGCGAAGGCAGCAUACCGGCGCCCAACUGACGCUGAAGCACGAAAGCGUGGGUAUCGAACAGGAUUAGAUACCCUAGUAGUC
rnacentral:rRNA from 1 species